CAUUAUAUAUAUCACAACCUGAGCACGACAAUCAUAAGAUUUGUAUGCAAAAUUAAAGUAGUUUUCUCCUCAGUCCUGUCCAUGGCAGUCAUCAAGAGCAAUCACACACAUGCCAUGGGUUGUUCAAUCUUGAUUGUUGUUAUGAUCAUGUCUUCCACUUUGAUCUUACCAACCUAUUGCUAUGAACGUACGUAUCUCCAAACAUUCUUUAAUCAUUUUUUCUUCUUACUGAAUUCCUUAUUUUUGCUACAAUAGACCUUACUAGACAUAUGUAAUUAAUAUCAUUGCAUUUCCUCAAUGUUUAGUUGAUCUUCAUGAAGAAUGCUUGCCUAUUCAAGUCUGCAAUACAAAUGUCUGCCAAAACUUAUGCAGACACGACGGCAACCGUUGGCUCAGGGCCUACUGCAGGACUGGACCAGGCGAUCUGAAAAUAUGUUGUUGCGCUUAUUCCUGAAUCUCUAGUGAUGCUUGUUGUUGUUUGUGGCACUAAUAUUGUCGUUCUCUGUAUCCACCCGCUUGGAAUGCAUUCUCAAUAAAAUAGUUUUUUAGUGACUCAAUCAAAAUUUUAAUUAUUAUGACCAACAUCAUAUGUGUAUGAUCGAUAUCAUGUGCACAUAUCUAGUUAGUGGCUCGUCUUUACGUCUUAAACCAGCGUUGAAAAUAUUAUUGUAUCGACUGUUCUUCAAUUUCUUAUUCUUUUGCUUCGAUGACCGCAAUUGAUAUCUCCUUCCACAAAGAGAGGUCUCCCCACAAAAUCCCUCCAGAUCUACCCUUAGAAAGCAAGCAAUGCCAUGAGAAGUUAUAUUGUGG
rnacentral:lncRNA from 1 species